CCCUUAGAUGUCCUGGGCCGCACGCGCGCUACACUGACUGGUGCAACAAGUGUCUACACGUUGGCCCCGAAAGGCCCGCGCAAUCUUGGAACGCCAGUCGUGAUGGGGAUAGGUUCUUGCAAUUUUUAAUCUUCAACGAGGAAUUCCUAGUAAACGCAAGUCAUCAGCUUGCAUUGAUUACGUCCCUGCCCUUUGUACACACCGCCCGUCGCACCUACCGAUUGGAUGGUCCGGUGAAGCCCUCGGAUUGGCCCUGAUCUUCGGUGACGGUGCCAAGAAGUAGGCUAAACCUUACCAUCUAGAGGAAGGUGAAGUCGUAACA
rnacentral:rRNA from 1 species